CCUACGGGCGGCAGCAGUAGGGAAUCUUCCACAAUGGGCGAAAGCCUGAUGGAGCAACGCCGCGUGGGUGAAGAAGGUCUUCGGAUCGUAAAACCCUGUUGUUAGAGAAGAAAGUGCGUGAGAGUAACUGUUCACGUUUCGACGGUAUCUAACCAGAACGCCACGGCUAACUACGUGCCAGCAGCCGCGGUAAUACGUAGGUGGCAAGCGUUAUCCGGAUUUGUUGGGCGUAAAGGGAACGCAGGCGGGCUUUUAAGUCUGAUGUGAAAGCCUUCGGCUUAACCGGAGUAUUGCAUUGGAAACUGGGAGACUUGAGUGCAGAAGAGGAGAGUGGAACUCCAUGUGUAGCGGUGAAAUGCGUAGAUAUAUGGAAGAACACCAGUGGCGAAAGCGGCUCUCUGGUCUGUAACUGACGCUGAGGUUCGAAAGCGUGGGUAGCAAACAGGAUUAGAUACCCCGGUAGUC
rnacentral:rRNA from 1 species